CACCUCUGCUGGAAGUAGGAAAGAGAAAAUAUACCUGCUAGGCCAUUCUUUGAGACAUUCAUUCUGUCUCCUACAGCAGCUUUAGGAUUCAUUUAUUCCCUUUUUCCUCUCCCAUUUCUGCCAUUUUACUUAUGGAUUGCUUUGCCCUUACCAUCUUCUUUUCAAAAUUCCACUUGUUUUUAUGUGCAAUAUCCUUAGGAAAUGAGACUUUCACAAACAAAAAAAAAAAAAAAACCCAAAAUUUCCUAAGCUACCUCCUUUGGAGUCUCUGAAGUAUCCUAUUUUCUAUGGCUUUGUGUUCCAGAUGCCAGGGCCAAGCCUUGUUUUGUGUGCACUGCACAGCACUGGACAGCAGCAGAAUGAUACAGUAGAACAUUAUAAAGACCAUGCUGGCAGUUUUCCCACCAGAUCUUACUUCACAUGUACUUUUGUUCUUGUAUAGCACCACUGAAAGAGGAGCCAAAGCUCUGCUGCUAUCAAUGAAGGAAGCAUGGGUAACCUUAUCUGCUGCACUGACUUCAAUAUUCUGUGAACACAUGUACACUGAAAAAGAAUGCAUAAAAUAUUUCAAGAAAGUCAGACAUGAUCUGCAAAAAAAUAACUGGAAGAGUCCCUUACCUGCCGAGAGAUGGAGCUGCUUGUAGGAUCUGGCACCGCAGAAAUAAGGUUGGCAGUGCUCUUUCUAUGAACACUAUUCAUACCAGGCAUUUUAGUGAUUUUACAGGCUUUGCUACUAGAACUAGAGUUUUUACGUUUUUUUCCUUCUGAUUUGUCAAAAGAAAGGGGUAGAGAAGACACUGCAUUAUGUGCUCCCAGGGAGUGGUCCCCUGAGUGGUGCACGAGAGAAGAUACAGAGAGAUUAGAAGUGUCAAUACUGCUCACUACCAUGCUCAUGUGUUUCACUGAGUCUGUUGAACUACUUGACAAUGAAGUCCGUCCUGAGGGCUCCGAUUUGG